CACGGACGACUCCCUCAAAAUCACCGACUCCUGCUUCACUCCGCCAUCCGCGACGGAACUCCUCACCGGGCGCCGAGCUUCGGCCGAUCAACGUCCACACGCCGGCGAGCUACGAGGGACAUGGCGACCGGGCACAAGGACUUUCGCAUACUCCCUGUCGGCGCGACCUCACCGGCUAGGGAUUUCGAUGGUGACACGAGAAGGGAAAGACAAGUUCAUUUUUAUAUGAUGGUAUGGGAUCCGUGGAGAUGAGGAUGUCUCCCAAGAUAUGACAGAAGGCCUACGGAUGGAGUAGACGAGGAGGCGGGAUAGACGUAUGGUACUGUCCAAAAGCCUAGGAGUGCAGAGCAUACUGGUUUCAUUGCGAGAGAUUUUUCUUCAUUAUUUGUGAAGAGGGAUGUUUGGGGAAUUAUUGCCCUCAUUCAUUAAACUCUUGUUUGAGAUGCAGUCAUUUUCAUUGGUUAA